CCUACGGGGGGCUGCAGUGGGGAAUAUUGCACAAUGGGCGAAAGCCUGAUGCAGCAACGCCGCGUGAGCGAUGAAGGCCUUCGGGUUGUAAAGCUCUGUCCUCAAGGAAGAUAAUGACGGUACUUGAGGAGGAAGCCCCGGCUAACUACGUGCCAGCAGCCGCGGUAAUACGUAGGGGGCUAGCGUUAUCCGGAUUUACUGGGCGUAAAGGGUGCGUAGGUGGGUUCUUUAGUCCGAAGUGAAAGGCUAAGGGUCAAACCUUGGAAUGCUUUGGAAACUGGGAGACUGGAGUGCAGGAGAGGUGAGUGGAAUUCCUAGUGUAGCGGUGAAAUGCGUAGAUAUUAGGAGGAACACCAGUUGCGAAGGCGGCUUACUGGACUGUAACUGACACUGAGGCACGAAAGCGUGGGGAGCAAACAGGAUUAGAUACCCCUGUAGUC
rnacentral:rRNA from 1 species